UACGGGGGGGCAAGCGUUGUUCGGAAUUACUGGGCGUAAAGGGCUCGUAGGCUGCCAACUAAGUCAGACGUGAAAUCCCUCGGCUUAACCGGGGAACUGCGUCUGAUACUGGAUGGCUUGAGAUCGGGAGAGGGAUGCGGAAUUCCAGGUGUAGCGGUGAAAUGCGUAGAUAUCUGGAAGGAACACCGGUGGCGAAGGCGGCAUCCUGGACCGACA
rnacentral:rRNA from 1 species